GACGAACGCUGGCGGCGUGCUUAACACAUGCAAGUCGAACGGAAAGGCCCUGCUAUUGUGGGGUGCUCGAGUGGCGAACGGGUGAGUAACACGUGAGUAACCUGCCCUUGACUUUGGGAUAACUUCAGGAAACUGGGGCUAAUACCGGAUAGGAGCUCCUGCUGCAUGGUGGGGGUUGGAAAGUUUCGGCGGUUGGGGAUGGACUCGCGGCUUAUCAGCUUGUUGGUGGGGUAGUGGCUUACCAAGGCUUUGACGGGUAGCCGGCCUGAGAGGGUGACCGGCCACAUUGGGACUGAGAUACGGCCCAGACUCCUACGGGAGGCAGCAGGGGGGAAUAUUGCACAAUGGGCGGAAGCCUGAUGCAGCAACGCCGCGUGCGGGAUGACGGCCUUCGGGUUGUAAACCGCUUUCGCCUGUGACGAAGCGUGAGUGACGGUAAUGGGUAAAGAAGCACCGGCUAACUACGUG
rnacentral:rRNA from 1 species